UCUAAGGAUGAAUGAAAGUAAAAUUUCAUUCUAAAUAAUAUACAUCGGUAAUGUUGACCGUCCUCAUUUCUCUUCUUAAAGUAGUGUUUCUCUUGCAUGGGGGCCGGUAGCUCAGCUGGUUAGAGCACACCCUUGAUAAGGGUGGGGUCGAAAGUUCGAGUCUUUCUCGGCCCACCAAUAUAAGAUCAUGGGGGAUUAGCUCAGCUGGGAGAGCGCCUGAUUUGCAUUCAGGAGGUCAGCGGUUCGAUCCCGCUAUCCUCCACCAAAAACACUUAGCUAUAAAAAUCGUAAAUAAAAAUAAUAAUUAAUAUCAAUAUCUAUAUCCGAACAUUAGUAAUGUUAUUAGCUAAUGUUCAAAAUAAAAAUUUGAUUCAACACAGAAUUUUUUUCUG
rnacentral:tRNA from 1 species